UACGUAGGGUGCAAGCGUUUGUCCGGAAUUAUUGGGCGUAAAGAGCUCGUAGGCGGUCUGUCGCGUCGGCCGUGAAAACCUGCAGCUUAACUGUGGGCUUGCGGUCGAUACGGGCAUCACUGGAGUUCGGCAGGGGAGACUGGAAUUCCUGGUGUAGCGGUGAAAUGCGCAGAUAUCAGGAGGAACACCGAUGGCGAAGGCAGGUCUCUGGGCAUUAACUGACGCUGAUGCGACGAAAGCGUGGGGAGCAAACGGG
rnacentral:rRNA from 1 species